UUUGACCUUUAAUUGUUUAUUUUAAUUCAAGUAUUAUUUUAAUUCUCAAAAAUACCAAAAAUAUUUUAUUUGUUUCUUGACCUUUAAACUUCAUCUUACUUCUGUUUACCAUUGAUUGACUUUGACUCUAUUCAUGUUUGAUCAAUGUGUGUUGGAUAUUUCAUUUGAAUUUCCAUUUAUGUACAUUCUUAUUCUUCUUCUUCUUCAUCUUUUUU
rnacentral:lncRNA from 1 species